UUACAAAAUGCGAGAAAUAACAAAAAAAUUUAUACUACAUUGAGGACCAUUUUUAUUUGUAUCUUCUUUCCACUCUCUCAUGUCUGUUGUUGUUUCUUCUUGAAGCUUCACUUCAAUUUUCUCAACUCAACCGGUAGUAGGCGCUUUCUCCACUUUUCUAGAAUCUUCCAAUUCCGUUCACAUAACUGUUUUUCCGAUCAUUUUCUUCUUCUUCAUCAAACACCACAACCUCUACUUUCCUUUCCGAGGAUCGCGUCCAAGUUAUUAGAAUUUCAACUUGGAUUUUUUCCUCUUUCUAUUAAGAUUUCAAGUUGA